GACGAACGCUGGCGGCGUGCCUAAUACAUGCAAGUUGAGCGCUGAAGGUUGGUACUUGUACCAACUGGAUGAGCAGCGAACGGGUGAGUAACGCGUGGGGAAUCUGCCUUUGAGCGGGGGACAACAUUUGGAAACGAAUGCUAAUACCGCAUAAAAACUUUAAACACAAGUUUUAAGUUUGAAAGAUGCAAUUGCAUCACUCAAAGAUGAUCCCGCGUUGUAUUAGCUAGUUGGUGAGGUAAAGGCUCACCAAGGCGAUGAUACAUAGCCGACCUGAGAGGGUGGUCGGCCACAUUGGGACUGAGACACGGCCCAAACUCCUACGGGAGGCAGCAGUAGGGAAUCUUCGGCAAUGGACGAAAGUCUGACCGAGCAACGCCGCGUGAGUGAAGAAGGUUGUCGGAUCGUAAAACUCUGUUGGUAGAGAAGAACGUUGGUGAGAGUGGAAAGCUCAUCAAGUGACGGUAACUACCCAGAAAGGGACGGCUAACUACGUG
rnacentral:rRNA from 1 species